GGCUAUAGCCAAGCGGUAAGGCAACGGACUUUGACUCCGUCACUCCGAUGGUUCGAAUCCAUCUAGCCC
rnacentral:tRNA from 2 species